rnacentral:rRNA from 1 species
UACGUAGGGUGCGAGCGUUAAUCGGAAUUACUGGGCGUAAAGCGUGCGCAGGCGGUUCGUUAUGUCCGAUGUGAAAGCCCCGAGCUCAACUUGGGAAUGGCAUUGGAAACUGGCGGGCUGGAGUGUGGCAGAGGGGGGUGGAAUUCCACGUGGUAGCAGUGAAAUGCGUAGAGAUGUGGAGGAACACCGAUGGCGAAGGCAGCCCCCUGGGCCAACACGUGACGCCUCAGGCACGAAAGCGUGGGGAGCAAACAGG